CUACGUGCCAGCAGCCGCGGUAAUACGGAAGGUCCAGGCGUUAUCCGGAUUUAUUGGGUUUAAAGGGAGCGUAGGCUGGAGAUUAAGUGUGUUGUGAAAUGUAGACGCUCAACGUCUGAAUUGCAGCGCAUACUGGUUUCCUUGAGUACGCACAACGUUGGCGGAAUUCGUCGUGUAGCGGUGAAAUGCUUAGAUAUCAUGAAGAACUCCGAUUGCGAAGGCAGCAUACGGGAGUGUAACUGACGCUUAAGCUCGAAGGUGCGGGUAUCGAACAGGAUUAGAUACCCUGGUAGUCCGCACAGUAAACGAUGGAUGCCCGCUGUUAGCGCCUGGCGUUAGCGGCUAAGCGAAAGCAUUAAGCAUCCCACCUGGGGAGUACGCCGGCAACGGUGAAACUCAAAGGAAUUGACGGGGGCCCGCACAAGCGGAGGAACAUGUGGUUUAAUUCGAUGAUACGCGAGGAACCUUACCCGGGCUUGAAUUGCAGAGGAAUUAUUUAGAGAUA
rnacentral:rRNA from 1 species